rnacentral:misc_RNA from 1 species
AGGUAUCAUGAUGUGUAAUUAAGCAGCAAAGUAGGAGAAUAAAGGACAAGGGAAAAUGUAUCCCGCUAGGCUUUUAUUAUUAGAGAACAUGCUUAAUUGCUUGUAUAUUACAACCUAACCACAGUAGAAUUCUUCAGGAAUUUGCAUUUUUCUAACUCAUUAUGCGUAGAUUUAAAAGCUUAAGAUGCCAAAGUGGUUUCUGCACAACUAUCAUGCACACAUGCCAGGACAUCCCUGUAGUCCCUUGAAAUGGUGAAAGAAUCAUACACCUUCCCAUCACUGCUUUUCUUGUACUCAAAGAGCAGGGAUGAAUGGUUGAAUGCUGUCAAUUUGACAAAUCCGAAGUCAUAAUCUUUGUAAAGGCUCCAACUAGGUGUAACUUCGCUGAAUUUUGAUAAAUGGCUACCUCCCCCACCCGCAACAACAUGGAUUGUUCCGUUCACUGUGCCUGAAUAAUGGUUUCUUUCUGUAUUCACGCAUUGAUUCUGGUAAAUUGGGCAUGUCCUUUCAUAGUUGUGUACAUGUCCAAAAAAUGCAAUGUCUACUUUGUACUUCUGCCAAAGCCUUUGCAAGCUUUCCCUCCCCAUCGGCUCUUCAAAUGAGCCCUCUAGGCCAUACCAGUAGUCAGAGGAAUACCCCAGGACACGAUGAGCUGCAAAGAUUAACCAAGGCUGUUUUUGUCUAUCUGCAGAUGCAAGGCAUUGCUCAAUGAACCUAUACUGCUCUGAUCCCUCCCUCCAGUCAUGCUCAGUAUCGGCUAUACAGAAGUGAAACAUGCCAUAAUCAGUUGAGUACCAAAAUUUAGCUCUGUUUUCUGCAGGUACGUAGAACAUGGUUUCUGCAAGCACUCCACACUCCCCACCUGAAUCUGUAGUGUCAUAGAAGGAUCCUGUAUUUGGCCAGUCACGUUCAUGAUUGCCACUUGCGAUCAUGUAUGGCACAGUUGAUGAAAUGGGCUCCACCUGUGCUGUGAAUUGGUCCCACUGUGAAAUGUAUCCAUUUGAAUAUGUUAUAUCUCCUAUAUGGAAUACAAAGUCAAUGUUGUUCAAGUCCUCAAUGAGUCGAUCUGUGGUAUUGAGAGAACCUGGCUGAUAAUCACUAUACUCAUUCGAACCAUCACGCUCUGCCUGAAAUGCAUUUGUUAGAUGCAGAUCUAUUUACAUAUGCAUCAGUACAAGAAACUUGGUGUGCCCUUAUUCAUUUCAAAAGUAAAGAUAAUAUGAGGCAAGCAAGGACAAGCUUGCAUAGUAGCUUUAAAAAUCAAGCAUGGAUUCUAAAGCACUUUCUUUAACUGAGAAUGCUACUUUAUUUCAACACCCAAAAGAUGACAUAAUUAAAUGUAAUUAUGCUUUAAAGAAGACAUUUAAGCCUGUUCCCAUAAUGAUUGAUGACAGCAAAGACCUAAUUGUCCAUUCAACGAUGACCUAUUACUUCUGUUAACACAUAUAUUGAAAUUGGAUUGUCAAGCGAACAACUACUUAAAUGGAAAGAUAAGAACAGUUUUUUCAUGUCAGAAUAACUUCACAAGAGGUAAGAAAUAUUAGUAGCAUGUAUAAAUUCAUGAUGAACAUAUUAGUGCUAGUGUCUCAUCUGCUAGACGGGAAAACAACCACUAUCAAUAUUGUUAUAGAUUUUCCAACACUACCUUCCCCAUGUCACCAAAUAUUAUGACACGUUGUAAUGAGUCUUGUCCAGGAUAUGGGGAUGAUUUAAAUGAAUACAUCUUACUCCAGACAUAAGAACCAUUAGAUAAAAUAUGACCCAUCCGAUAUGAAUACCGAGUGUUUGGCCAUAAAUUUUUUAAGAAACUUGUAUGUAUGAAUCCAGGAUCACGCCAGCCUACUGUCCGUGCAGGUGAACCACACAUGCUGUUUUGAUGAAAUGUCAAUGUUCCAGCAGGUGAGCGCUCAGGGGUUCCUCCUUUCAGACCCCAUUCAACAAAUGGAACAGCUUCAUCUAUGUUGUAGCCACUUGUCCAAGUUAUGGCCAUCUCAUCCCAAGAUUUUCCUUGAGCAAGACGUGGAUACAGUGGUGCUUUAGGAUUGGCAAAAGUGAUGGAAUUUGAAACUGCUACCAGUUUUGGAUUUGACAAUCCCCCUGAAAAUAAUGCAAAGGAGAAAUCUGCCCGCUGAUUUAUCAGCUGAAAUUUCAAAGUGUUUUGGCCCGUCUUUGUGUAUGCUGAAUUGGAAUGAUUUGCAUACUUGUACUUUAUUGGGGCUGAACAAAUAUAUGGAUUUUGCUCUUUGGGGUCAUUUAUUGGUGGACAUGUUGAUGAGCUGACAUAUUGAAACAAAAAAACUCAUAGUUUUUAGACAAUAAAUAUACAAAAUUUCGCAGAUAGUGCAGUUAUUAAUGAUCACCCCUAUGGUCCUACAGCAAUCAUGAUGAAGAAAAUUUGAUGUUUUGACAGCUUUAGCUCUAGGAAAAUGCCAAUUCCAUAAUCAGUGUUCUUCGCAUCAAUAACAUUUGGAGUGCAAAAUGCUAGGAAGUUAAUAGUAGAACAUGGAUGAGCAUUACUUGAAUUUUGCAGGAGAGAAAACUCCAACCCAAUUAUCUGGAGAUGGUUCAGGAUGCACAAUAUCCACUGUUACCCACUGAGUAUCCUCAUUCUUCAAUCCAAGAAUAAGAGGGGAGGCUUUCGCGGAAGCCGAAUCGUGAAGCGCGAGGCUGGUUUUGUAAAUAUCGAUUUGGGAGAGAGGUUGCUCACCAAACCCAUGAAUAUGGCCACAAACAGAGCUCAAGUGUGCAAAACAGAGAAAAGAAACAAUUUUCAAGAGUUUCAGCCACUGAAAAUCACCCUCCAUUGAUUCUUUUGAGGAUUAUAACAAAACCUAGAAAGCACCUGAAUUUAAAUUGAAUGUUGGAUAAAGACCCAAAUUUAAAAUGAAAGUUAGAUAAGAUCGGUGCCAAUUAGAUUCCUUUUAUUGGAAAGUGCGUGAAGCGAACAAUGGAAGAAGAUAAGCAGGGAAGUCAACUUGGGUUAUGGUAAACCACAUGCAGAAGCGACUCCCUGCUCUCUUUCUCAGUGUUUUGCGCUGUGUUUUUGGGAUUUUCAGAGACCAGAUGGGGGAGGCAGAGACUGCUUAUUUACAGCCCAUGCGUCCGUGACUCAAACUGCUACAGGGCUCUGUAUUGUAAUCCUAAAAUCAAGAAAUGGAAUACAAACACACAGAAAAU